AAUCAGUUAGUUAGCAUUAUACCGUGAAACUGCGAAUGGCUCAUUAAAUCAGUUAUCGUUUAUUUGAUAGUACCUUACUACUUGGAUAACCGUGGUAAUUCUAGAGCUAAUACAUGCUAAAAACCCCAACUUCGGGAGGGGUGUAUUUAUUAGAUAAAAAACCAAUGCCCUUCGGGGCUCCUUGGUGAUUCAUGAUAACUUCUCAGAUCGCAUGGCUUUACGCCGGCGACGGUUCAUUCAAAUUUCUGCCCUAUCAACUUUCGAUGGUAAGGUAUUGGCUUACCAUGGUUUCAACGGGUAACGGGGAAUUAGGGUUCGAUUCCGGAGAGGGAGCCUGAGAAACGGCUACCACAUCCAAGGAAGGCAGCAGGCGCGCAAAUUACCCAAUUCCGAUACGGAGAGGUAGUGACAAUAAAUACUGAUACAGGGCUCUUUUGGGUCUUGUAAUUGGAAUGAGUACAAUUUAAACCUCUUAACGAGGAACAAUUGGAGGGCAAGUCUGGUGCCAGCAGCCGCGGUAAUUCCAGCUCCAAUAGCGUAUAUUAAAGUUGUUGCAGUUAAAAAGCUCGUAGUUGAACCUUUGGCCUGGCUGGCAGGUCCGCCUCACCGCGUGCACUUGUCCGGCCGGGCCUUUUCUUCUGGAGAACCGCAUGCCCUUCACUGGGUGUGUUGGGGACCAGGACUUUUACUUUGAAAAAAUUAGAGUGUUCAAAGCAGGCCUUUGCUCGAAUACGUUAGCAUGGAAUAAUAGAAUAGGACGUGCGGUCCUAUUUUGUUGGUUUCUAGGACCGCCGUAAUGAUUAAUAGGGACAGUCGGGGGCAUCAGUAUUCAAUUGUCAGAGGUGAAAUUCUUGGAUUUAUUGAAGACUAACUACUGCGAAAGCAUUUGCCAAGGAUGUUUUCAUUAAUCAGUGAACGAAAGUAAGGGGAUCGAAGACGAUCAGAUACCGUCGUAGUCUUACCAUAACUAUGCCGACAAGGGAUCGGGCGGUGUUCUAUUGUGACCGGUCGGACCUACCAGAAAUCAAA
rnacentral:rRNA from 1 species